rnacentral:sRNA from 1 species
AGCGAAAGCCGCGUUGCCGCAGGCAACGACCCGAAGGGCGAAGCGCGCAGCGCUGAGUCAUCCUUCCCCCACCACCA